AUCCGGUCGAUCCUGCCGGAAUCCGACGCUCUCCUCAAGGACGCAAGCCAUGCAUGCCCGCACACCCGGGAAGCGGCGGACGGCUCAGGACGACGGUUGCACCCCCCGCGGCGGUCCCUGCUAGACGGACAACGCUGGCAACCCGGCGCCAAGACGUGCGCGCAAGUGCGCCCGCCCCCGCGGCGAGCAGCGCAACGCAGCGACGGGCCGCCCGGGCUUCCGCGGCAUCACCUGGUCGGCGCGGUCGCGGCGGGCCGAGGGCGCGACGCCUGGCGGAGAAUCAGGGUUCGAC
rnacentral:rRNA from 1 species